GUCCAUACCUUGCUCUGGUUUUACAGCUAUUUCUGCAUUUCCGUUGUACAUGAUGUGCAAGAAUGACAACAGUUUAUAGAGUAACAGUUUCACAAUAUGUAGAAUUCCUGGCUGGGAUGGUGAUAUCACAAAUAUGAGUUUCCUUCCCUUACAGUGAUGUUCACACCUUUUUCCAUCGGUGGGAAACCAGUUAUGUUUUUUUGUUGUUGUUUUAUUUAUUUUUUUACAAGCGAUGACAUUAAAAAGGUUAUUUUUCAAGCAUAGAAAAUCACAACAAGCGUCAGCGCAGAAGGAGAGUUGCACCAAUUGGUUUAGGCCUUUAUAAAGUCACCAAUGAAUUCUUGAUCUUUUCAAACCUUUUUUUUUAUAUAUAUGUUUAGUCAUGAUGAUGAGAAUGUAAAAAACUGACCUACUGCUUGACAGACUGUGAAACCGUUUUGAAGUUUUUUUUUUUUCCCAAUAAGUCAAUAUUAUGCGAUUUUUCUUAAAUUUUUUCUUUAUUUUUAAACAAAACAUAUCCAAAAACUGAUUGUAACACAGAGAUGAAAAUGUCACGAUUUAUUUAGUAAGGGCAACACGAAGCCCAAGCACACGUAAUCCUUGAAAGGAAUUUAUUGUAUUUCUGGGAGUCGGUAUGACAAAAAAAAGAAAAAGAAAAUACAAAAAUAAAUUAUUACAAAAAAGUAUUUUGAGAACAAAACAGGACUUUUUCUUGUGUCACGGAGUGCAACAAAGUUACAUGGCUAAAACAAACACUAACCGCUCUCUCUAUAGCUUGCUAUCAAUAUGAUAAUCUAGCUAUAGAUAAUUUUUUUUAAUUUAUGGAUAUAAUAUUUUCUUUAAAUCUCAUAUACACAUUUGGCAAAC